AAGCACCACAGGCAUGGAGUGGGCGUGAUCCUGGGAGGGUCUGCACUGCCCUCUCUAUGAUUACAGGUCCAGAAAGUGAACAAAUCUGCGGUUAUGGCAUCAUUUGCAUUUGGACGUAACUCUGCUGCUGAAAAACCUCAGGCUAUGGUGGUGAGACUCACUACAAACUGAAGGUUCAAAAUGGAGUUUGGCGAGAAAAGUCUCAAGUCGCUUUUGCUGCAAAACUGUGGUUGCAGCAUCCGGACAUAAUAGAAUUCCAACUUCUGCCCUGUUUAACUGCAGUUUUGUGUUAUGUGUGAAUGCAGCCAUUCACUUGUACUGAAUUCUGCUUAAACAGUAUAUGAGCUGGGAAGCUGCAUUUCGGCUGGGAUACAGGAUAUUGCUACUGAUCAUUUCGUUGUGAUGGAUGUGAUGGCUCCCCAUUCCCCCUCUGAUGCGAAGAGAAGGAAAGAAGAAUGGACCGCGGAAGGCCAUAUAUAAAAAGUUAUAUACAUAUGAAAUAAAACGAAAUCUCUUGGUUCACCAUA